rnacentral:lncRNA from 1 species
GCGUCUGAUCCGAGGCGGCCGCCUUCUCCCCGCGCGUGGUGCCUCCUGGGGUGACCGCUGCUCCGUCUCCGCCGCAGGCGCCCCCGGGCCACUCUCCCGUACCGCCUGGACCAGGAGUUGUGUUUCUGGGGCUGCCGGGGCCCGGCCUUGCCGCCUGUCGCCACCUGCAGCAGCCUGGGCGAUUACUGGCUGAGCCCGCAGCGCCGGCGCCCACCGGGCGCCACCUGGCGCUGGCCCGCUCGCAAUAUGCUGCUACUGCCAGGGGCCACCGGGCUGGCGGAUAUACCCUCGGCGCGCUGGCCCAGCUGCUACGGCGUUCGCCCGCGCCUCACGUGGAAGCACCGGUGGCAGAAUAUUAACUACCAGUAUCUGGGCAAGAGGAAGAGACAUCUAGUUCCUCUGCGCCCGUGAGAGCCGCCAACAGAUAUUUAUGGAGCCCCCCCUCAUUUGGAAAGUGACCUUGAGGCAGAAGAGAAUGGCUGGAGGGGCUGGACUUGUGUAGAGAGUCAAGCAAGAAGGCUGAUGAAGUAGCCCAGGUCCAGAUGAGGAGACUGAGGCUCAGAAGAGAGGGCCUAGAGCCACACAGCUGGGAAGUGACAAAGCCAACUCUUCACCCCUACAGUUGCCUCAACACAACAUUCCCUCACUGAAUCCUUGCCACAACCGGAAGUGGUACCCGAUGUCCUGGUUUUACAGCAGGUGUUGUGAUGCUCAGCAAGAGGAAGGGACUUGUCCAGGUCACAAAGCCCGAAGGUUGCAGCAGUUUGGAUCCAAAUCAUUUGGGGGGAACAGGUGAUGGGGCAAGAACAGUGUGGAGAGGAAGAGGUGGGACUGGCAACUGGACAAAAAGAGUGUUUCAGUUUCCCUUUUAAAGGGGCUUCCCCCAAAAUGGGGGAUUUUGGCUGGAAAGUUGUUAGUAAUCCACAUUCCACUGGUUUGGCCAUCUCCGCCUCAAAGGCUCCCAGGAACUGAAAAGAAACUGAAAGUUGGGAAGAGGGGAGGGGAGGAGGGAAGGGAGAGGCUGGGGACAGAGUAACUGGGUUGAGUUUCUGGUGACCUCACUGAGCCUGGGGGAGGCAGGCAGGCGAGCUGGGAUUACACACCUCUUAGCUAUUGGAAAAAUUGAGCCCCAGAGAGACACCCCUAUUUGUGGCUGGGUCCUUUGUGCAGCCACCCCCAACACACACACACAGACACACAGACACACAGACACACAGACACACACACACACACACACACACACACCCACACACACACACACACACACACACGGCGUGGGGUGGGGGCAGGGGGAACCAGGGGAAGAGGGAGGAAAAUGGAGAAACGAAAGCUCUGGGCAGGAGUGUCCUCUGUGGUGCAAUGGAAUUGGUGGCAUCUCUGCAGUGUCAGAUUUAGGUUCAAACCCCAGCCCAGCACAGUGGGGUUAAAAGAUCCAACAGUGCCGCAGCUACGGUAUGGCUUGGAUCUGAUCCCUGACCAGGGAACGAUAUUCCACACGGUGGUCAGAAAA